AAUCAACGCUGGCGGCGUGCCUCAGACAUGCAAGUCGAACGAUUAAACUUCCCUUCGGGGAAGAUAUAAAGUGGCGCACGGGUGAGUAACACGUAAGUAAUCUGCCCUCGAGUGGGGAAUAACAACCGGAAACGGUUGCUAAUACCGCAUAAUGCAGCGGCACCUAAUGGUGACAGUUGUUAAAGGAGCAAUCCGCUUGAGGAGGAGCUUGCGGCAGAUUAGCUAGUUGGUAAGGUAAUGGCUUACCAAGGCUACGAUCUGUAACCGGUCUAAGAGG
rnacentral:rRNA from 1 species